rnacentral:rRNA from 1 species
GAGAGCCUACGGGGGGCAGCAGUGGGGAAUAUUGGACAAUGGGGGAAACCCUGAUCCAGCGACGCCGCGUGAGUGAAGAAGUAUUUCGGUACGUAAAGCUCUAUCAGCAGGAAAGAAAAUGACGGUACCUGACUAAGAAGCCCCGGCUAACUACGUGCCAGCAGCCGCGGUAAUACGUAGGGGGCAAGCGUUAUCCGGAUUUACUGGGUGUGAAGGGAGCGUAGACGGUUGUGCAAGUCUGAAGUGAAAGCCCGCGGCUCAACUGCGGAACGGCUUUGGAAACUGUGUAACUGGAGUGCUGGAGA